GAUGAACGCUGGCGGCGUGCCUAAUACAUGCAAGUCGAGCGAACAGACGAGGAGCUUGCUCCUCUGACGUUAGCGGCGGACGGGUGAGUAACACGUGGAUAACCUACCUAUAAGACUGGGAUAACUUCGGGAAACCGGAGCUAAUACCGGAUAAUAUAUUGAACCGCAUGGUUCAAUAGUGAAAGACGGUUUUGCUGUCACUUAUAGAUGGAUCCGCGCCGCAUUAGCUAGUUGUUAAGGUAACGGCUUACCAAGGCAACGAUGCGUAGCCGACCUGAGAGGGUGAUAGGCCACACUGGAACUGAGACACGGUCCAGACUCCUAAGGGAGGCAGCAGUAGGGAAUCGUACGCAAUGGGCGAAAGCCUGACGGAGCAACGGCGCGUGAGUGAUGAAGGUCUUCGGAUCGUAAAACUCUGUUAUGAGGGAAGAACAAAUGUGUAAGUAACUAUGCACGUCUUGACGGUACCUAAUCAGAAAGCCACGGCUAACUACGUG
rnacentral:rRNA from 1 species